rnacentral:lncRNA from 1 species
AGCCAUGACAGACAGAAAACGGCGCCAUUUCCAGCGUUCCUGAGUGUAAAACGGAUGAAAACUACAGGAGACCAUUGGGAGCGGGCGAGAUCUGCGAGAAGGGCGAGGCGCGUGUCCAGAGUCCUGUCCGCGCCUGCCGUACCCGACAACCUACCAAAACACACGGUCUGCACAGGGCCGGACUCAUCCCCCCCGCCUGUCUCAAGCAGGAGACCCCCGCUUGGUCUUAACUGCUGGAGGGGUGAAAGAUCGGCCAAUUUACAACUGCAAGAGAAAUUCUUAAAUAGGAUGAUAAGCCUCAGCAGAGCAGCCUGA